GAAAUAUCCUUUUGGAUAACCAUUAACCAAGACAGAGAGCUUGGCAGAGGAGAGGUGCUUUAGCAACCCGAGUGAAACGAGAGGAACGAGAGUGAAACGCACUUUAGUGACUAGAGAACUUCUUUCUCUAGGAGAGGGAAACAGCCCGGAUCACCAGCUAAGGCCCCCAAAUGGCCGCUCAGUUAUAAAGGAGGUAGGGGUGCAGAGACAGCCAAGGAGGUUUGCCUAGAAGCAGCCACCCUUGAAAGAGCGCGUAAUAGCUCACUGGGAACGGAUUAGCUUAUUGGCAGCUCCGAUGCCGCCACGGAGCCUUCAUUCGCCGGUUCUUGGCACUUGGGAGUGGUUC
rfam:Arabidopsis thaliana chromosome 2, complete sequence.